UAAAACACUUCCAGAUUGUCGUCACUAAUGACAACUAUUUAGUGACGACAUUUUAGGUCGUCACUAAUAGUUGUCAUUAGUUGACGACAAUCUGGAAGUU